rnacentral:rRNA from 1 species
AUGUAUAUUUCUUGUUCCCUCUACGAUUGGUGGCGAUCCGCGUCAGACUCCGUGCCGCACUCUCUCCGGAAGGCACUUGCCUCGAUCGUCCCAAUCAUCACGUGGGAGAUUUGGAAGCACCGAAGUGCAUGCAUCUUCGAUCAACGUCAACCCUCCAUCAACAUCCUGCUAGCUACCAUCCAAGAUGAUGUGCGCGCCUGGGCCACGGCCGGUGCCAAAGGGCUGCAAGCACUACUCGAUGUAACAUAA